rnacentral:rRNA from 1 species
UAGGGAAUCUUCCGCAAUGGGCGAAAGCCUGACGGAGCAACGCCGCGUGAGUGAUGAAGGUCUUCGGAUCGUAAAACUCUGUUAUUAGGGAAGAACAAAUGUGUAAGUAACUAUGCACGUCUUGACGGUACCUAAUCAGAAAGCCACGGCUAACUACGUGCCAGCAGCCGCGGUAAUACGUAGGUGGCAAGCGUUAUCCGGAAUUACUGGGCGUAAAGCGCGCGUAGGCGGUUUUUUAAGUCUGAUGUGAAAGCCCACGGCUCAACCGUGGAGGGUCAUUGGAAACUGGAAAACUUGAGUGCAGAAGAGGAAAGUGGAAUUCCAUGUGUAGCGGUGAAAUGCGCAGAGAUAUGGAGGAACACCAGUGGCGAAGGCGACUUUCUGGUCUGUAACUGACGCUGAUGUGCGAAAGCGUGGGGAUCAAACAGG